rnacentral:rRNA from 1 species
AGUGAACGCUGGCGGUAGGCCUAACACAUGCAAGUCGAACGGCAGCACAGGAGAGCUUGCUCUCUGGGUGGCGAGUGGCGGACGGGUGAGGAAUGCAUCGGAAUCUACUCUUUCGUGGGGGAUAACGUAGGGAAACUUACGCUAAUACCGCAUACGACCUACGGGUGAAAGCCGGGGACCUUCGGGCCUGGCGCGAAUGAAUGAGCCGAUGCCCGAUUAGCUAGUUGGCGGGGUAAGAGCCCACCAAGGCGACGAUCGGUAGCUGGUCUGAGAGGAUGAUCAGCCACACUGGAACUGAGACACGGUCCAGACUCCUACGGGAGGCAGCAGUGGGGAAUAUUGGACAAUGGGCGCAAGCCUGAUCCAGCCAUACCGCGUGGGUGAAGAAGGCCUUCGGGUUGUAAAGCCCUUUUGUUGGGAAAGAAAAGCAGCUGGUUAAUACCCGGUUGUUCUGACGGUACCCAAAGAAUAAGCACCGGCUAACUUCGUGCCAGCAGCCGCGGUAAU